AAAGUCGUAACAAGGUAUUCGUAGGUGAACCUGCGUAUGGAUCAUUAACGUCUCUCUUUCAUGAGAAACAAGAAUAAAAUUCGCACGGUUUGUUUGUUUGUUACUCUUGUUAGAAACAACAACAAUCCGUGUCGUGCCUAAUGUGCAUCUCUGAUAGCCUCAAUAUGAGUUGGGUUUUUCCUUCACACACACACAAUAAAUGAAUGGAUAAACCUCAAGCACGGCCAUAUAUUGAUGAGCUUAAAAACCUUUCCUUAUAAUAAUUAUCAUUGUUAUUGGAAAUGAAAAGAUAAAUUUAAAACAAAAAAUAGAAUAUAAUUCUGUACGGUGGAUCACUAGGCUCGU
rnacentral:misc_RNA from 1 species